GAUGAACGCUCGCGAUAGGCUUAACACAUGCAAGUCGAGGGGUAACGUGUUGGAAGCUUGCUUCCGAUGACGACGACCGGCGGAUGGGUGCGUAACGCGUAUGCAACUUGCCUCACAGUGGAGAAUAACCCGGAGAAAUCCGGACUAAUACUCCAUACACUCUUAAGUACGCCUGUACAUGAGAGGAAAGAUUUAUCGCUGUGAGAUAGGCAUGCGUCCUAUUAGGUAGUUGGUGAGGUAACGGCUCACCAAGCCGACGAUAGGUAGGGGUGCUGAGAGGCAGAUCCCCCACAUUGGGACUGAGACACGGCGCAAACUCCUACGGGAGGCAGCAGUGAGGAAUAUUGGUCAAUGGAGGAAACUCUGAACCAGCCAAGUCGCGUGAAGGAAGAAUGUCCUGAGGAUUGUAAACUUCUUUAGCGAGCGAGUAAGGACUUCCACGUGAUGGGAGUUUGAAAGUAGCUGGAGAAUAAGUAUCGGCUAACUCCGUG
rnacentral:rRNA from 1 species